UCUACUCAAGGAAUGCUGCCCAGCGCAC
rnacentral:piRNA from 1 species